GGUUAAGCGACUAAGCGUACACGGUGGAUGCCCUGGCAGUCAGAGGCGAUGAAGGACGUGCUAAUCUGCGAAAAGCGCCGGCGAGGUGAUAUGAACCUUUGACCCGGCGAUGUCCGAAUGGGGAAACCCAGUGCAAUUCGUUGCACUAUCGUUAACUGAAUACAUAGGUUAACGAGGCGAACCGGGGGAACUGAAACAUCUAAGUACCCCGAGGAAAAGAAAUCAACCGAGAUUCCCCCAGUAGCGGCGAGCGAACGGGGAGCAGCCCGGAGUCUGAAUCAGCUUGUGUGUUAGUGGAACGGUCUGGAAAGUCCGACGGUACAGGGUGAUAGUCCCGUACACGAAAGCACACAUGCUGUGAACUCGAAGAGUAGGGCGGGACACGUGGUAUCCUGUCUGAAUAUGGGGGGACCAUCCUCCAAGGCUAAAUACUCCUGACUGACCGAUAGUGAACCAGUACCGUGAGGGAAAGGCGAAAAGAACCCCGGCGAGGGGAGUGAAAAAGAACCUGAAACCGUGUACGUACAAGCAGUGGGAGCCUCUUUAUGGGGUGACUGCGUACCUUUUGUAUAAUGGGUCAGCGACUUAUAUUCUGUAGCAAGGUUAACCGUAUAGGGGAGCCGAAGGGAAACCGAGUCUUAACUGGGCGUUAAGUUGCAGGGUAUAGACCCGAAACCCGGUGAUCUAGCCAUGGGCAGGUUGAAGGUUGGGUAACACUAACUGGAGGACCGAACCGACUAAUGUUGAAAAAUUAGCGGAUGACCUGUGGCUGGGGGUGAAAGGCCAAUCAAACCGGGAGAUAGCUGGUUCUCCCCGAAAGCUAUUUAGGUAGCGCCUCGUGAACUCAUCUUCGGGGGUAGAGCACUGUUUCGGCUAGGGGGCCAUCCCGGCUUACCAACCCGAUGCAAACUACGAAUACCGAAGAAUGUUAUCACGGGAGACACACGGCGGGUGCUAACGUCCGUCGUGAAGAGGGAAACAACCCAGACCGCCAGCUAAGGUCCCAAAGUCAUGGUUAAGUGGGAAACGAUGUGGGAAGGCACAGACAGCCAGGAUGUUGGCUUAGAAGCAGCCAUCAUUUAAAGAAAGCGUAAUAGCUCACUGGUCGAGUCGGCCUGCGCGGAAGAUGUAACGGGGCUAAACCAUGCACCGAAGCUGCGGCAGCGACGCUUAUGCGUUGUUGGGUAGGGGAGCGUUCUGUAAGCCGUUGAAGGUGUCCUGUGAGGGGUGCUGGAGGUAUCAGAAGUGCGAAUGCUGACAUAAGUAACGAUAAAGCGGGUGAAAAGCCCGCUCGCCGGAAGACCAAGGGUUCCUGUCCAACGUUAAUCGGGGCAGGGUGAGUCGACCCCUAAGGCGAGGCCGAAAGGCGUAGUCGAUGGGAAACAGGUUAAUAUUCCUGUACUUGGUGUUACUGCGAAGGGGGGACGGAGAAGGCUAUGUCAGCCGGGCGACGGUUGUCCCGGUUUAAGCAUGUAGGCGGAGGUUCCAGGUAAAUCCGGUACCUUGUUAACGCUGAGGUGUGAUGACGAGGCACUACGGUGCUGAAGUGAUAAAUGCCCUGCUUCCAGGAAAAGCCUCUAAGCAUCAGGUAACACGAAAUCGUACCCCAAACCGACACAGGUGGUCAGGUAGAGAAUACCAAGGCGCUUGAGAGAACUCGGGUGAAGGAACUAGGCAAAAUGGUGCCGUAACUUCGGGAGAAGGCACGCUGAUGUGUAGGUGAAGUCCCUGCGGACGGAGCUGAAAUCAGUCGAAGAUACCAGCUGGCUGCAACUGUUUAUUAAAAACACAGCACUGUGCAAACACGAAAGUGGACGUAUACGGUGUGACGCCUGCCCGGUGCCGGAAGGUUAAUUGAUGGGGUUAGCGGCAACGCGAAGCUCUUGAUCGAAGCCCCGGUAAACGGCGGCCGUAACUAUAACGGUCCUAAGGUAGCGAAAUUCCUUGUCGGGUAAGUUCCGACCUGCACGAAUGGCGUAAUGAUGGCCAGGCUGUCUCCACCCGAGACUCAGUGAAAUUGAACUCGCUGUGAAGAUGCAGUGUACCCGCGGCAAGACGGAAAGACCCCGUGAACCUUUACUAUAGCUUGACACUGAACACUGGUCCUUGAUGUGUAGGAUAGGUGGGAGGCUUUGAAGCGUGGACGCCAGUCUGCGUGGAGCCAACCUUGAAAUACCACCCUUUAAUGGCUGGUGUUCUAACGUAGACCCGUAAUCCGGGUUGCGGACAGUGUCUGGUGGGUAGUUUGACUGGGGCGGUCUCCUCCCAAAGAGUAACGGAGGAGCACGAAGGUUGGCUAAUCCUGGUCGGACAUCAGGAGGUUAGUGCAAUGGCAUAAGCCAGCUUGACUGCGAGCGUGACGGCGCGAGCAGGUGCGAAAGCAGGUCAUAGUGAUCCGGUGGUUCUGAAUGGAAGGGCCAUCGCUCAACGGAUAAAAGGUACUCCGGGGAUAACAGGCUGAUACCGCCCAAGAGUUCAUAUCGACGGCGGUGUUUGGCACCUCGAUGUCGGCUCAUCACAUCCUGGGGCUGAAGUAGGUCCCAAGGGUAUGGCUGUUCGCCAUUUAAAGUGGUACGCGAGCUGGGUUUAGAACGUCGUGAGACAGUUCGGUCCCUAUCUGCCGUGGGCGCUGGAGAAUUGAGGGGGGCUGCUCCUAGUACGAGAGGACCGGAGUGGACGCAUCACUGGUGUUCGGGUUGUCAUGCCAAUGGCACUGCCCGGUAGCUAAAUGCGGAAGAGAUAAGUGCUGAAAGCAUCUAAGCACGAAACUUGCCCCGAGAUGAGUUCUCCCUGAGACUUUAAGUCUCCUGAAGGAACGUUGAAGACGACGACGUUGAUAGGUCGGGUGUGUAAGCGCAGCGAUGCGUUGAGCUAACCGAUACUAAUGAACCGUGAGGCUUAACCUU
rnacentral:rRNA from 1 species